CAUGGGUUAGCGUUCUUGCCACCUCCCUGCAGCCUCCGGGUCCUCCCAUAGCCCCGUGCUGACCUUGGUGGUCCCGGGAGAGGGACAGCCUAUCUGCCUUGGGUUCCGGCAGGUGCACAGGAUGGCCGGGGACAGAGGGUGUGUCCUGGCAUGUCCGGCUGCCCCAGGAAGGGAGCCCCUCUGUGUGUGGUGUCAGCACGUAAGGCCAUAGCUCUGGGCGAGAACCACUGAGCCUGCAAGGGCAGCUGCCUGAGAUGGGAUCUGAACCCAGGACAUUGAGCUCCAGAGUUCAUACUCUCAGCUCCCACCUUCAGCUGUCCCCCCUCCAGAAUUAUAAUGUCUGUCUCGUCUCCAUUUCAAGGGACAGAGGAAGAAAGUCUUAUGACAACGGAGCAUUUGCUAGGAGGGAGCACCCAGGGGGCGACCCUGGGGUUGGAUGGGGGGUGGAUGAGUCCUUGGCCAGCUCAAGGAUGGAUGAACCACUCAUGUGUGGAGCUGGUCCUUGGCUGCCCACACUGCAAAGAGGGGGAUGUAAGUUUUGCCUUUUCCAGAGUGUCAUGGACUUGGAAUCACAAGAUGUGUAACCUUUUCAGACUGGCUUCUCUCAGCAAGAUGCAUUUGAUGUUCCUCUAUGCCUUCUCGUGGCUCGAUAGCUCUGUAUUUUUUAUACCAAAUGAGAAGCUCUGUGACUUGCCCCCGGGACCCUCGGUAAAUCAGGAAGAGAGCUAGGAUCCGAAGGUGCUGUGCCCUGAGCCUCUCCUUUGUGGAGGGGCCCUGGAAGGAUGUGCACAGAGGGGAUGUCUUUAUUUGUGAUGUGGGAAGAAAAACGCCCCAGCCUGGCGUUGGCAAGUACACUGUGAGAGGCAGGGGCUGAGAAGUGCAUGAAGGACCAGGAAGGAGCAGCAGCUGCCCGAGAGGGCACAUGGAGGAGGAGAGUUGGGGGCCAAGAGCUUCCUGAGGAUGGGCGGCUGCAGGCUGAAUCCCUGCCCCACACCCCUUGAGGGUCUCCAUCACUCUGGGGAAGAUUCCAGGCUCUGGCUAGCACUGUCAUCCUGCAGGCAUUUUUCCUUGUACCACAGAUGGUUGUUUCCAGCCUGUGUCUGGCCUCAGUGCCUUUGCUCCUGCUGUCUCAUGUGCCUGAAUCACUGGUUUAUUUUUUAAGUGAGCUAUUAUUCAUAUACCAUAAAAUGCACCCUCUUAAAAUGUGCAACUGAGGGCUUCCCUGGUGGCGCAGUGGUUAGGAGUCUGUCUGCCAAUGCAGGGGACGUAGGUUCGAGUCCUGGUCGGGGAGGAUCCCACAUGCCGCGGAGCAGCAGAGCCCAUGCGCCGCAACUACUGAAGCCCGUGCUCCACAACAGGAGAAGCCACCGCACCGAGAAGCCCGCGCACCGCAACGAAGAGUAGCCCCCGCUGGCAGCAACUAGAGAAAGCCCGCGCACAGCAAUGAAGACCUAACGCAGCCAAAAAUAAAAAUAAGAUGAAAUAAAUUUAAAAUAUAAUAAAAAUAAAAAAACAUUUAAAAUGUGCAA